rnacentral:pre_miRNA from 1 species
UUGACAUCAUCAUACUUGGGAUGUGCUAACAUUAAAACCCCAAGCAGGUUGAUGUCUGGC